AACGAACGCUGGCGGCAGGCCUAACACAUGCAAGUCGAACGCUCGUAGCAAUACGAGAGUGGCAGACGGGUGAGUAACACGUGGGAACCUUCCCUAUGGUUCGGAAUAGCCCAGGGAAACUUGGGGUAAUACCGGAUAAGCCCUUCGGGGAAAGAUUAUCGCCAUUGGAUGGGCCCGCGUCGGAUUAGCUAGUUGGUGGGGUAACGGCCUACCAACGGCGACGAUCCGUAGCUGGUCGUGAGAGGAUGAUCAGCCACACUGGGACUGAGACACGGCCCAGACUCCUACGGGAGGCAGCAGUGGGGAAUAUUGGACAAUGGGCGCAAGCCUGAUCCAGCCAUGCCGCGUGAGUGACGAAGGUCUUCGAUCGUAAAGCUCUUUGCGGGACGAUAAUGACGGUACCCGCAGAAUAAGCCCCGGCUAACUUCGUGCCAGCAGCCGCGUAAC
rnacentral:rRNA from 1 species